GAUGAACGCUGGCGGCGUGCCUAAUACAUGCAAGUCGAGCGAACGGACGAGAAGCUUGCUUCUCUGAUGUUAGCGGCGGACGGGUGAGUAACACGUGGAUAACCUACCUAUAAGACUGGGAUAGCUUCGGGAAACCGGAGCUAAUACCGGAUAAUAUUUUGAACCGCAUGGUUCAAAAGUGAAAGACGGUCUUGCUGUCACUUAUAGAUGGAUCCGCGCUGCAUUAGCUAGUUGGUAAGGUAACGGCUUACCAAGGCAACGAUGCAUAGCCGACCUGAGAGGGUGAUCGGCCACACUGUAACUGAGACACGGUCCAGACUCCUACGGGAGGCAGCAGUAGGGAAUCUUCCGCAAUGGGCGAAAGCCUGACGGAGCAACGCCGCGUGAGUGAUGAAGGUCUUCGGAUCGUAAAACUCUGUUAUUAGGGAAGAACAUAUGUGUAAGUAACUGUGCACAUCUUGACGGUACCUAAUCAGAAAGCCACGGCUAACUACGU
rnacentral:rRNA from 1 species